ACAGCGCGAGCUUGGUGCUGAUUGGCCGGUUCUGCAGCCAAUCCCCGCCCGGCGGCGGCGCGAGGGAGAGGGAGACGGACCCCCCCCCCCGAGUUCUGGGAGUGCAGGGUUGGGACCCAGGCGUCCGGGCUGCCAGCCUGGUGAGCCCUGCCAGGAGGGCGCGGGCCCCUCGCGGGAGCGGGGUGGGGGUGGGGGGGUGUCAGGGCCCGGCGGGCGGCGCAGUGCUACUGUAACUAGCUCUACCUGUGAUUUGUUUUCAGGGGGCAGAGCACAGGGAAGGGGCCUCCCCAGUCUCCAGUGUUCGAAGGUGUCUAUAACAAUUCUCGAAUGCUGCAUUUCCUGACGGCUGUCGUGGGCUCCACGUGUGAUGUGAAUGUGAAAAAUGGCAGCACCUUUGAGGGGAUUUUUAAAACUCUCAGCUCUAAGGUAAGUGUCGGGGGGGAUAGUGGAAUGCUGGGGUCCCCGUGGCU